AUAGAUCUGUACGGACUCUUGAUUUAACCCACAAUAAAAUAGUUGACAUACCUAUGGAUAUAAGCAAAUUAAUUAACAUGCAGCGCCUGAUCUUAGCUGAGAAUCUUGUCCAGCAACUACCUACAAACUUGGGGAAACUUCAGUCUCUAAAACUUAUGACACUUGAUGGAAAUCAAAUUACCUCCUUGCCUGAUGAAAGUAAUUCUCUUCUCU